ACCUGGGUGGCUCAUUUGGUUAAGCGUCUGACUUUGGCUCAGGUUAUGAUCUCACUGUUUGUGGGUUCAAGCCCCACAUCGGGCU
rnacentral:tRNA from 1 species